rnacentral:rRNA from 1 species
AAAUUGAAGAGUUUGAUCAUGGCUCAGAUUGAACGCUGGCGGCAGGCCUAACACAUGCAAGUCGAACGGUAACAGGAAGAAGCUUGCUUCUUUGCUGACGAGUGGCGGACGGGUGAGUAAUGUCUGGGAAACUGCCUGAUGGAGGGGGAUAACUACUGGAAACGGUAGCUAAUACCGCAUAACGUCGCAAGACCA